rnacentral:tRNA from 1 species
AGAGCACCUGACUCUUAAUCAGGGUGUCCAGGGUUCGAACCCCUGGAGGCGCAUCA